rnacentral:rRNA from 1 species
UUUAUGGAGAGUUUGAUCCUGGCUCAGGACGAACGCUGGCGGCGUGCCUAAUACAUGCAAGUCGAGCGGAUCGAUGGGAGCUUGCUCCCUGAGAUCAGCGGCGGACGGGUGAGUAACACGUGGGUAACCUGCCUGUAAGACUGGGAUAACUCCGGGAAACCGGGGCUAAUACCGGAUAACACCUACCCCCGC